GGGUUGUGAGGUUAAGCGACUAAGCGUACACGGUGGAUGCCCUGGCAGUCAGAGGCGAUGAAGGACGUGCUAAUCUGCGAUAAGCGUCGGUAAGGUGAUAUGAACCGUUAUAACCGGCGAUUUCCGAAUGGGGAAACCCAGUGUGAUUCGUCACACUAUCAUUAACUGAAUCCAUAGGUUAAUGAGGCGAACCGGGGGAACUGAAACAUCUAAGUACCCCGAGGAAAAGAAAUCAACCGAGAUUCCCCCAGUAGCGGCGAGCGAACGGGGAGCAGCCCAGAGCCUGAAUCAGUGUGUGUGUUAGUGGAAGCGUCUGGAAAGGCGCGCGAUACAGGGUGACAGCCCCGUACACAAAAAUGCACAUGCUGUGAGCUCGAUGAGUAGGGCGGGACACGUGGUAUCCUGUCUGAAUAUGGGGGGACCAUCCUCCAAGGCUAAAUACUCCUGACUGACCGAUAGUGAACCAGUACCGUGAGGGAAAGGCGAAAAGAACCCCGGCGAGGGGAGUGAAAAAGAACCUGAAACCGUGUACGUACAAGCAGUGGGAGCACGCUUAGGCGUGUGACUGCGUACCUUUUGUAUAAUGGGUCAGCGACUUAUAUUCUGUAGCAAGGUUAACCGAAUAGGGGAGCCGAAGGGAAACCGAGUCUUAACUGGGCGUUAAGUUGCAGGGUAUAGACCCGAAACCCGGUGAUCUAGCCAUGGGCAGGUUGAAGGUUGGGUAACACUAACUGGAGGACCGAACCGACUAAUGUUGAAAAAUUAGCGGAUGACUUGUGGCUGGGGGUGAAAGGCCAAUCAAACCGGGAGAUAGCUGGUUCUCCCCGAAAGCUAUUUAGGUAGCGCCUCGUGAAUUCAUCUCCGGGGGUAGAGCACUGUUUCGGCAAGGGGGUCAUCCCGACUUACCAACCCGAUGCAAACUGCGAAUACCGGAGAAUGUUAUCACGGGAGACACACGGCGGGUGCUAACGUCCGUCGUGAAGAGGGAAACAACCCAGACCGCCAGCUAAGGUCCCAAAGUCAUGGUUAAGUGGGAAACGAUGUGGGAAGGCCCAGACAGCCAGGAUGUUGGCUUAGAAGCAGCCAUCAUUUAAAGAAAGCGUAAUAGCUCACUGGUCGAGUCGGCCUGCGCGGAAGAUGUAACGGGGCUAAACCAUGCACCGAAGCUGCGGCAGCGACGCUUAUGCGUUGUUGGGUAGGGGAGCGUUCUGUAAGCCUGCGAAGGUGUGCUGUGAGGCAUGCUGGAGGUAUCAGAAGUGCGAAUGCUGACAUAAGUAACGAUAAAGCGGGUGAAAAGCCCGCUCGCCGGAAGACCAAGGGUUCCUGUCCAACGUUAAUCGGGGCAGGGUGAGUCGACCCCUAAGGCGAGGCCGAAAGGCGUAGUCGAUGGGAAACAGGUUAAUAUUCCUGUACUUGGUGUUACUGCGAAGGGGGGACGGAGAAGGCUAUGUUGGCCGGGCGACGGUUGUCCCGGUUUAAGCGUGUAGGCUGGUUUUCCAGGCAAAUCCGGAAAAUCAAGGCUGAGGCGUGAUGACGAGGCACUACGGUGCUGAAGCAACAAAUGCCCUGCUUCCAGGAAAAGCCUCUAAGCAUCAGGUAACAUCAAAUCGUACCCCAAACCGACACAGGUGGUCAGGUAGAGAAUACCAAGGCGCUUGAGAGAACUCGGGUGAAGGAACUAGGCAAAAUGGUGCCGUAACUUCGGGAGAAGGCACGCUGAUAUGUAGGUGAAGUCCCUCGCGGAUGGAGCUGAAAUCAGUCGAAGAUACCAGCUGGCUGCAACUGUUUAUUAAAAACACAGCACUGUGCAAACACGAAAGUGGACGUAUACGGUGUGACGCCUGCCCGGUGCCGGAAGGUUAAUUGAUGGGGUUAGCGCAAGCGAAGCUCUUGAUCGAAGCCCCGGUAAACGGCGGCCGUAACUAUAACGGUCCUAAGGUAGCGAAAUUCCUUGUCGGGUAAGUUCCGACCUGCACGAAUGGCGUAAUGAUGGCCAGGCUGUCUCCACCCGAGACUCAGUGAAAUUGAACUCGCUGUGAAGAUGCAGUGUACCCGCGGCAAGACGGAAAGACCCCGUGAACCUUUACUAUAGCUUGACACUGAACAUUGAGCCUUGAUGUGUAGGAUAGGUGGGAGGCUUUGAAGUGUGGACGCCAGUCUGCAUGGAGCCGACCUUGAAAUACCACCCUUUAAUGUUUGAUGUUCUAACGUUGACCCGUAAUCCGGGUUGCGGACAGUGUCUGGUGGGUAGUUUGACUGGGGCGGUCUCCUCCUAAAGAGUAACGGAGGAGCACGAAGGUUGGCUAAUCCUGGUCGGACAUCAGGAGGUUAGUGCAAUGGCAUAAGCCAGCUUGACUGCGAGCGUGACGGCGCGAGCAGGUGCGAAAGCAGGUCAUAGUGAUCCGGUGGUUCUGAAUGGAAGGGCCAUCGCUCAACGGAUAAAAGGUACUCCGGGGAUAACAGGCUGAUACCGCCCAAGAGUUCAUAUCGACGGCGGUGUUUGGCACCUCGAUGUCGGCUCAUCACAUCCUGGGGCUGAAGUAGGUCCCAAGGGUAUGGCUGUUCGCCAUUUAAAGUGGUACGCGAGCUGGGUUUAGAACGUCGUGAGACAGUUCGGUCCCUAUCUGCCGUGGGCGCUGGAGAACUGAGGGGGGCUGCUCCUAGUACGAGAGGACCGGAGUGGACGCAUCACUGGUGUUCGGGUUGUCAUGCCAAUGGCACUGCCCGGUAGCUAAAUGCGGAAGAGAUAAGUGCUGAAAGCAUCUAAGCACGAAACUUGCCCCGAGAUGAGUUCUCCCUGACUCCUUGAGAGUCCUGAAGGAACGUUGAAGACGACGACGUUGAUAGGCCGGGUGUGUAAGCGCAGCGAUGCGUUGAGCUAACCGGUACUAAUGAACCGUGAGGCUUAACCUUACAACGCCGAAG
rnacentral:rRNA from 1 species